UACGUAGGGGGCAAGCGUUGUCCGGAAUUAUUGGGCGUAAAGAGCGCGUAGGCGGUCCGGUAAGUCCGCUGUGAAAGUCGGGGGCUCAACCCUCGGAUGCCGGUGGAUACUGUCGGGCUUGAGUACGGAAGAGGCGAGUGGAAUUCCUGGUGUAGCGGUGAAAUGCGCAGAUAUCAGGAGGAACACCAAUUGCGAAGGCAGCUCGCUGGGACGUUACUGACGCUGAGACGCGAAAGCGUGGGGAGCAAACAGG
rnacentral:rRNA from 1 species